rnacentral:lncRNA from 1 species
CGGGGUGUAAUGUUACACGGGGGUGGUUUUCCUUAACAGAAUAAAAGCUUUGCAGGGAAAUAGUAGGUCAGGCUUGCCUCAGCCUUGCCAAAACUGGCACCAAAACUCCUGGUUGCUGUAAGCUGUCGGCAAACCUCUCUUUCUUUGGUCUUGCCCCAUUUCCUUGACUUUCCAACCCAAUUUCUCCUGGAGUUUCUGAGCAACUUUAAGAAAACACAUCAGGGGGCGUUGGGAACUUCUCUGAGGUGCUCCUCCUCUGGCCGCCUACGGCCUGUUGCGUAGUUUAACGUUUCUUCCUCCGCUGUUUGAAUCCAAGGGCGGCAGACGCCAAGAUUUCCGUGUUGUCGAUGACCGAAGACCCCAACACCUCCCUCUUCUGCCAGUUCCCGUUCAGUUGGGUUGUGAAAUCCUACCUGGACAACGUGUGGGAGAGGGUCUAUCAUACGAAAGGCCAACCCAAGAACCCGACAGGGGAAGUGGCCAGGUUCUACCAAAACAUCAUCAAGAACGUCUGGAUGCCAGAUGACCGCACUCCAAACAUGCUCUGCUAUUACGCCAACGACUUCGUCAGGAUGGCUUUUCCUGGACAAGAUAACUCCGUCUACGAGAUCCUUUCCCAAGCUCUCCUCGCCAGCGCAGAGCAACUCUGCC